rnacentral:rRNA from 1 species
UACGUAGGGUGCAAGCGUUAAUCGGAAUUACUGGGCGUAAAGCGUGCGCAGGCGGUUGUGGAAGACCGAUGUGAAAUCCCCGGGCUUAACCUGGGAACUGCAUUUGUGACUGUACGGCUGGAGUGCGGCAGAGGGGGAUGGAAUUCCGCGUGUAGCAGUGAAAUGCGUAGAUAUGCGGAGGAACACCGAUGGCGAAGGCAAUCCCCUGGGCCUGCACUGACGCUCAUGCACGAAAGCGUGGGGAGCAAACAGG